AGCGAACGCUGGCGGCAGGCCUAACACAUGCAAGUCGAACGGAUCCUUCGGGACUAGUGGCGGACGGGUGAGUAACACGUGGGAACGUGCCCUUUGGUUCGGAACAACUCAGGGAAACUUAAGCUAAUACCGGAUGUGCCCUUCGGGGGAAAGAUUUAUCGCCAAUGGAGCGGCCCGCGUCUGAUUAGCUAGUUGGUGAGGUAAAGGCUCACCAAGGCGACGAUCAGUAGCUGGUCUGAGAGGAUGAUCAGCCACAUUGGGACUGAGACACGGCCCAAACUCCUACGGGAGGCAGCAGUGGGGAAUUUUGCGCAAUGGGCGAAAGCCUGACGCAGCCAUGCCGCGUGAAUGAUGAAGGUCUUAGGAUUGUAAAAUUCUUUCACCGGGGACGAUAAUGACGGUACCCGGAGAAGAAGCCCCGGCUAACUUCGUGCCAGCCGCCGCAGUAA
rnacentral:rRNA from 1 species